UCCCCAGUGGCCUAGUGGUUAAAGAUUCAGCAUUGUCACUGCUGAGGCUCAGGUUCAAUCCCUGGUCUGGGAA
rnacentral:tRNA from 1 species